rnacentral:misc_RNA from 1 species
GCAAGAGCACCAACCUGACCAGAUUAGCUGCUAAAAUUAUUGAAACCCAAACCCCAGAUUUUGACCAAAAGAUGAUUCUUCACGGUUGUAGUAGCAAUCAGAGUCACAGUUCGAGAGAAUUAAGCCAUGAAAUUCUCCACCAUCACAUCUCAUCUUCAAGUAAGCUUCUUUCUCUUCAUUCUCCUUCUGAAGCAAGGGUUUUUCCAGGGUUUAAUCACUUUCAUCACCGCAACUUUGCAAGUACACAAUAUUACUCUUUGCCCGCUGCCUUUCCUGUCGAGCCAAUCCUUCGUAGAAGAGUCGUUUGCUCAUUUCCCCAGAAGCAUAACCUUAAAGGAUGUAGGGUUUCUCUAGGGUUUAAGCUUCAGUGUCAUUCAAAAACUCUAACUUUACCCACGAAGAGUUCUUCGGUUAAUGGUAAAAAGAAGAGGUAUGGAGGUGUUUUGCCUUCAAUUUUACGAUCUUUCGAGUCCGAAAAUGAUAUUGAGAAAACCCUUAAUUCGUUUUGUGAGAGCUUGAGUCCAAAAGAACAGACUGUGAUUCUCAAGGAACAGAGAAAUUGGGGGAGAGUUGUUCGGGUUUUUGAGUUUUUUAAAUCGCAGAAAGAUUAUGUGCCAAAUGCUAUUCACUAUAAUAUUGUGCUUCGAGCGCUCGGCAGAGCUCAAAAAUGGGAUGAAUUAAGGCGUUGUUGGAUUGAAAUGGCAAAAGUUGGUGUUUUACCUACCAAUAACACGUAUGGAAUGCUUGUUGAUGUGUAUGGAAAGGCUGGUCUUGUUACUGAAGCGCUUUUGUGGAUUAAGCAUAUGAGACUUAGAGGGCUUUUCCCUGAUGAGGUUACAAUGAAUACAGUUGUUAGGGUUUUGAAAGAUGCAGGGGAGUUUGAUAGGGCACAUAGGUUUUAUGAAGACUGGUGUGGUGGGCGGAUUGAGUUGGAGGACCUUGAAUUUGAUGCUAUGAGUGAUUUCAAAAAUGGGUCUGGUUCUGUGCCAGUUAGCUUUAAGCAUUUUUUGUCAACUGAACUUUUCAAGAUAGGAGGGAGAAUUGUGGGGUCAUCAGAUGCUGAAAGUCUGGUUAGGAAGCCACGUCUAACAUCUACAUAUAAUACAUUGAUUGAUUUGUAUGGUAAGGCAGGGCGUCUCAGUGAUGCAGCUGAUGUCUUUGCAGAUAUGUUGAAAUCUGGGGUGGCAAUGGAUACCAUCACAUUUAAUACUAUGAUCUUUACUUGUGGAAGUCACGGUCAUUUGUCAGAAGCAGAGUCUUUGCUUAAUAAGAUGGAAGAAAGGGGAAUAACUCCUGAUACCAGAACUUAUAACAUCUUUCUAUCUUUAUAUGCAAGUGUAGGCAACAUUGAUGCAGCCAUCAAGUGUUAUAGGAAGAUUAGAGAGGUGGGUCUUUUCCCCGAUACUAUAACCUACCGAGCUAUUCUUCAUGAAUUAUCUGAGAGGAAUAUGGUGAAAGAAGCAGAGGCUAUAAUUGAAGAAAUGGACAAGUCUUCACAGCAUAUUGAUGAGCAUUCUUUGCCUGGUAUUAUGAAGAUGUAUAUUAACAAAGGAUUACUUGAUAGGGCAAAGAGCCUUUUCGAUAAUUGUCAGUUUGAGGGUGGAUUGUCAUCAGGGACUCGCGCGGCAAUUCUAGAUGCUUAUGCUGAAAAGGGGCUUUGGACUGAAGCUGAGGCUGUGUUUCACAGGAUGAGGGCAUUGGCUGGACAGAGGAGGGACAUUUUGGAGUAUAAUGUCAUGAUCAAAGCUUAUGGAAAGGGAAAGCUUUAUGAGAAAGCCUUUUCUCUGUUUAGAAGUAUGAGGAAUCAUGGGACUUGGCCUGAUGAGUGCACAUAUAAUUCUCUCAUCCAAAUGUUCUCUGGUGCUGAUUUGGUGGACCAAGCAAGGGACCUAUUAGGUGAAAUGAAAGGAGCAGGAUUUAAACCACUAUGUCUAACAUUCUCUUCCAUUAUUGCAUGCUAUGCCCGUCUGGGACAGCUUUCUGAUGCAGUUGAUGUCUACCAAGAAAUGGUUAGUGCAGGGGUAAAACCUAAUGAAGUUGUGUAUGGUGCUAUAAUUAAUGGAUAUGCAGAGGCUGGAAAAGUUGAAGAAGCUCUUGAAUAUUUCUGCAAGAUGGAAGAAUGUGGGAUUUCGGCAAAUCAAAUAGUUUUGACUUCCCUGAUUAAGGUUUAUAGCAAGCUGGGAUCCUUUGACAGUGCAAAACAAUUGUAUCAGAAGAUGAUGUGUUUGGAGGGUGGUCCGGAUAUCAUUGCAUCAAAUAGCAUGAUCAGUCUCUAUGCAGAACUUGGGAUGAUAUCAGAAGCUGAAUUGGUUUUCAAUAAUUUGAGAGAAAAGGGUUCAGCAGAUGGGGUUUCCUAUGCAACCAUGAUGUAUCUGUAUAAGAGCAUGGGCAUGCUCGAUGAAGCCAUUGAUGUUGCAGAGGAGAUGAAACAGUCGGAUUUGCUAAGGGACAAUAUGUCAUAUAACAAGGUAAUGGCAUGUUUUGCCUCUGAUGGUCAGCUGCUUGAGUGCGGUAAAUUGUUGCAUGAGAUGAUUGACCAGAAACUGUUGCCUGAUGAUGGAACCUUCAAAAUAUUAUUUACUGUGUUGAAGAAAGGAGGUCUUCCAACUGAAGCUGUAAUGCAGUUGGAGUCCUCCUAUCAGGAGGGAAAACCUUAUGCUAGACAAGCUAUCAUUACCUCUGUUUUUUCUGUAGUGGGUUUACAUGCUUUAGCACUCGAGUCCUGUGAGAUCUUCACAAAGGCAGAUGUAGCUCUUGAUUCCUUUGCCUAUAAUGUUGCAAUAUAUGCUUAUGGGUCAGCAGGGGAAAUCGACAAGGCUCUAAACACGUUCAUGAAAAUGCAGGAUGAGGGCCUUGAACCAGACCUUGUUACUUGUAUCAAUCUGGUUCAUUGUUAUGGAAAAGCUGGUAUGGUCGAAGGGGUGAAGAGGAUUUAUAGCCAAAUAAAAUAUGGAGAGAUCAAGCCCAAUGAUUCUUUAUUCAAGGCUGUUGUAGAUGCCUACAAAGAUGCCAAUAGGCCUGACCUGGUUGAAUUGGUUAACCAAGAGCUGAGGUUUGGUUUUGAUUCUCAACAAUUUUCUGACUACGAUUCUGAUUCACAACAAUAUUCUUUCGAUUUUGAAGCUGAAGAUGGGUCUGAUGGACAAUCGCCAGGCAUAUAGAGUCCAUAAAAUUUUUAUGUUUUAAGGAGAGAACUCGAAGGGAAAAAAAUUGAGAACAAGAAGAAAGGAGAAGAUGACAAGGUUCCUUUGUGUAAAUUGUACAGGGACAAUGCUGUGUCUCAGCAUUGAAGGUUUUUUGUAUGUAAUGUAUGACGCAAUAGCUAAAUUGAAAUGAUUUUAAUAGAGUUUAGGUUUCAGUAGAUCAUUGUAAAUAUAUACAUGGAGAUGCUCCUGUUAAUUUUAUAUCGUAUAUCAGUACCUAUUUUGGU